rnacentral:rRNA from 1 species
CCUACGGGUGGCAGCAGUGAGGAAUAUUGGUCAAUGGACGAGAGUCUGAACCAGCCAAGUAGCGUGAAGGAUGACUGCCCUAUGGGUUGUAAACUUCUUUUAUAUGGGAAUAAAAUGUUCCACGUGUGGGAUUUUGUAUGUACCAUAUUAAUAAGGAUCGGCUAACUCCGUGCCAGCAGCCGCGGUAAUACGGAGGAUCCGAGCGUUAUCCGGAUUUAUUGGGUUUAAAGGGAGCGUAGGUGGAUUGUUAAGUCAGUUGUGAAAGUUUGCGGCUCAACCGUAAAAUUGCAGUUGAAACUGGCAGUCUUGAGUACAGUAGAGGUGGGCGGAAUUCGUGGUGUAGCGGUGAAAUGCUUAGAUAUAACGAAGAACUCCGAUUGCGAAGGCAGUUCACUGGACUGCAACUGACACUGAGGCUCGAAAGUGUGGGUAUCAAACAGGAUUAGAUACCCGGGUAGUC